rnacentral:rRNA from 1 species
UGCAAGUCGAGCGGUAACAGGUGUAGCAAUACAUGCUGACGAGCGGCGAACGGGUGAGUAAUGCUUCGGAAUCUGCCCAAUGGUGGGGAAUAACCAGCCGAAAGGUUGGCUAAUACCGCAUAAGUCCUACGGGAGAAAGCAGGGGAUCGUAAGACCUUGCGCCGAUGGAUGAGCCGAAGCCGGAUUAGCUAGUUGGUAGGGUAACGGCCUACCAAGGCGACGAUCCGUAGCUGGUCUGAGAGGACGACCAGCCACACUGGGACUGAGACACGGCCCAGACUCCUACGGGAGGCAGCAGUGGGGAAUAUUGGACAAUGGGGGAAACCCUGAUCCAGCGACGCCGCGUGUGUGAAGAAGGCCUGCGGGUUGUAAAGCACUUUUAGUGGGGAUGAAAAGCUCAGGGCUAAUACCUCUGGGUCUUGACCUAACCCAAAGAAAAAGCACCGGCUAACUCUGUGCCAGCAGCCGCGGUAAUACAGAGGGUGCAAGCGUUAAUCGGAAUUACUGGGCGUAAAGCGUGCGUAGACGGUUACAUAAGUCGGGUGUGAAAGCCCCGGGCUCAACCUGGGAAUUGCAUUCGAGACUGCGUAGCUAGGGUGCGGAAGAGGGAAGCGGAAUUUCAGGUGUAGCGGUGAAAUGCGUAGAUAUCUGAAGGAACACCAGUGGCGAAAGCGGCUUCCUGGUCCAGCACCGACGUUCAGGCACGAAAGCGUGGGGAGCAAACAGGAUUAGAUACCCUGUAGUCCACGCCAUAAACGAUGAGAACUAGACGUUGAGAGGGUAAGCCUCCCAGUGUCGUAGCUAACGCGCUAAGUUCUCCGCCUGGGGAGUACGG